GCUAUCGUGUUGGUUUAUGCAGGUUAGGUAAACCCACUAAGUUCAAUUUAGUGUACAGCCUACAAUGAAUAUUGUUCAAACUGAUGGAUUCGUUCAGCGGUUGUGGAAUGUUACUUCAAACUCAAACAAGGGAUAGCAGUUGGGGUAUAGUCGCAUCACGGGAAGGAAGUCAGAACUCAUUAACAACCUCAAUUAUAACGGUAGUCCAAUUUAAUCAACACCUUGGUGUAUUGACUUGUAUGAUUAGUGAGGGUGAACUAAUCUUAUUUCAUCUGCUGCUUCCUCCGGCUUUCUGAGACAUAUUCAUAGUAUUCCUCUUCUCCAUAAAGUUUCGCUAGAUCUGCAAAGGUAUCUGAUUUAAUUACUGCCAGCCCCUCUGGGCUCCCAAGGGAAGAAUAGUGUGUAAUCAUUUCCUUCAGGGUAUGCUUUGUACUUUUGAUAUCAUUAUCCCACAAUAUACUCUUUCUCACAUACUCUCUUUUGACAUCUUCCCAUGGUGUUUUUCCCUCAGAAGAGAAUAUAGAAGCAUUCCACAUGGCUCCUCUUGCAACCAUCACAGAUGAAGCACCUGUUACAUUUCUAAUACGUUGAAAAUCCUCAUAUUCAAAAACAUCACCAUUUGCUAUAACUGGAAUAGAGAGAGCGGCAGCAACAUCAGCAAUCUCAUUCCACUUUGCAGGAUCUCUUGGCCUAUCUGGAACUUUCCUUCCAUGGACAGCAAGAGCAGAGACACCAGUCAUCUCAAUUCGUCGUGCCAAUUCCACUGUAUCCUGCGGAUCUUUUAAUAACCUAAUUUUGCAUGUUAUUGGUACAUCCAAGUUCCUUCGCAAUGUUGUCAAAAUAUCAUGGAUGAGCUCUGGUUUGCUCAACAGUGCAGCACCCAUGCCUCCACUAAUAGAGAAUGACUUGGGGCAUCCCAUGUUUACGUCAACUGCUGCUACAUCUUUACACACUAUUUCAGCAGCUUUGAGAGCCCUCAUGGCAUCAGAAGUGCCCAUCUGAAAUACAACUCGAUUUCUCUCCUCGGGACACGUUCUGAAAACAACAUUAUCAGUUCCCUUCUCCACUAUGUCAGUAGUCCCUAAGACAUCAUUAACUCGCCGCUCACAUUUGAUGAUCUUAUGAUCAAUAAUCUCCUCUCCAUAGGUUAUGUCAGCUCCAUAUUGGGCAGCAAGCAGCCUAAACGGCAAUGUACCCACUCGGACCAUUGGAGCCAAGACUAGCUUGUUUCUGUAAUCCAUCAUUCUGACGAGGCAGAUAAGUUAGUGCGAUGCCUUGACUUGAAAAGAGAGGAAGAAUUUUCCCAGCCGGCGGCGACCAACCACGGCGGAGUAUCGGAGUGGUUGCAAUUGACGAGCGGCGCCGCGGAAGGGUCCG
rnacentral:misc_RNA from 1 species